CAGGGGGUAGUUUAAUAAAAUUUUAAUUUUGGAGAUUAAAGAUGGGCUUGUGUCCUCUUCUGA
rnacentral:tRNA from 1 species